rnacentral:lncRNA from 1 species
AGCCAUGAUGGCUUCGGGUAGGGGUUGAUCUCUGUCACCUUCUUUACCAUCUGGAGGCAAUGUAAGCACCCACUGCAGCCCUAUAGUCUGCUGCAACUAUGACUCCAUGCCAGAACUUGAAGACCAGGGUGGUGAUUCCAGGAAGCAUUUUGAUUCCCUGCUCCUCUGAGACUCCCCAGCUGGGCAUGGCCAGCCUCAGCCCAUCAGUGGGACUCCCUGGACCCAGAUCCAGCAGAUCUGCAUAAACUCAACCAGCAGGCCUUUUUACUGGAGAACGUCCCUUG